UACGAACCGUACGAGCGUUAUUCGGAAUUACUGGGCUUAAAGGGUGCGUAGGCUGUGCGGAAAGUUGGGCGUGAAAUACCUCAGCUUAACUGAGGAACUGCGUUCAAAACUACCGUGCUCGAGGGAGACAGAGGUAAGCGGAACUGAGGGUGGAGCGGUGAAAUGCGUUGAUAUCCUCAGGAACACCGGUGGCGAACGCGGCUUACUGGGUCUCUUCUGACGCUGAUGCACGAAAGCUAGGGUAGCAAACGGG
rnacentral:rRNA from 1 species